rnacentral:rRNA from 1 species
UACGUAGGUGACCAGCGUUGUCCGGAUUUACUGGGCGUAAAGAGCGCGCAGGCGGUCAGAUAAGUCGAAUGUGAAAGCCCCCGGCUCAACUGGGGAGGGUCAUUCGAUACUGUUCGACUCGAAGGCAGGAGAGGGAAGCGGAAUUCCCGGUGUAGUGGUGAAAUGCGUAGAUAUCGGGAGGAACACCAGUGGCGAAGGCGGCUUCCUGGCCUGUUCUUGACGCUGAGGCGCGAAAGCUAGGGGAGCAAACGGG